GCACGUGCACCACAGCAAAUUGUCUCCACAUCCAUAUAAAUAGAGGGAAACAUCCUGAUCUUAUCCAGAUUUUGAUCCGGGUCGGCUGUGGAGAGGCUUCCUUCCAGCAACCUUGAGUGUUCAGAGAAAACUUCAGCCAUGGGACUUCCUUACCUUCUCUUCGCUUUGGUUGCUCUCCUCUUUCACACAUCUGCUGUGCCACCUGAGGAGAUGUGUGAAGACCGGAGGGGCUACUGCCAACCUUCAUCAGACAAAGACUGUGAUGAUGACGAUGUCCUUCCAUUACCAUGCUCUCAUGUUAAUGAGACAUGCUGCAAAUUACCACCACGGUUAAAAUGUGAAGAUCUGGGGGGCAUGUGCAUGAAUCCACCUGAUGACACCUGCCUUUCUGUUAUAUCAGCAAGAUGUGACGGGGAUGACAUGAAAUGUUGCAAAAAAGAUUGAAGCUGAAGUGACAGUAUCAAGUGUCAAUGUCCCCUCCUCCUUUUUCUCUGAUUAUUAUUUUUUAAUUGCCAGUGAAGAAUGUCUGCUUGCGAUACACAAGGAUAAAUGAGCAUGACUAAUGGAUCAGCUCUAACGCCGAUUAAAACACAGAUUAGAAAUCCUACUUUAAAAUAAAAACAAAGAUGAAGGCUUAUUAUUUCAUACUGAAUACAAAUUCAGGCAUAAGAAAGGCACAGAAUCACAGAACUGUAGAGUUGCAAGGGAUCCCAGACAUCAUCUAUCCCACCCCCUGCAACGCAGGUAUCUCAGCUAAAGCAUCCA